rnacentral:rRNA from 1 species
UGUGUUGUCUUGAAGGGCGUAUGGUGGAUGCCUUGGCAGACAGGACCGAUGAAGGACGUGGGGGGCCGCGAUAGGCCUCGGGGAGCCGCCGACCGGGCUUUGAUCCGAGGAUUUCCGAAUGGGGGAACCCAGCCGCCGUCAUGGGCGGUUACCGCUUUUGCGGGGGGUACGCAGGGAAGUGAAACAUCUCAGUACCUGCAGGAAAGGAUAUUCCGUGAGUAGUGGCGAGCGAAAGCGGAUCAGGCCAAACCUCAUGCGUGUGAUACCCGUCGGGGGUUGCGUGUGGGGUGUUGUGGGAGCGUGUGUCCCGGUGCCGACGUGCCGGGCGGCGGUGAUAAAGACGUGUGCGAGGGGAACCGGAUUGAAUGCCGGGCCGUAGAGGGUGAGGGCCCCGUACCCGUAUGCGCAUGUCCCGUCGAUCGCGCCUCCCAAGUAGCACGGGUCCCGUGGAACCCCGUGCGAAUCCGUCUCGACCGUGAGAUAAGCCUAAAUAUUCCUGUCUGACCGAUAGUGAACUAGUACCGUGAGGGAAAGGUGAAAAGCACCCCGGGAGGGGAGUGAAACAGUCCCUGAAACCGUGCGCCUACAAACCGUCGGAGCCCUGCGGGGUGACGGCGUGCCUAUCGAAAAAUGAGUCUGCGAGUCAGUGGUGCGUGGCGAGCAUAACCCGUGUGGGGUAUGCGUAGCGAAAGCGAGUCUUAAAAGGCGUUUUAGUCGCGUGUCCUGGACCCGAAGCGGGAUGAUCUAGCCCUGAGCAGGUUGAAGCGCGGGUAAGACCGUGUGGAGGACCGAACCCACCUGGGUUGAAAACCGGGGGGAUGACUUGGGGUUAGGGGUGAAAGGCCAAUCAAAUUCCGUGAUAGCUGGUUCUCUCCGAAAUGCAUUUAGGUGCAGCGUCAGGUGAUUGCGUCCGGGGGGUAGAGCUACUGGAUGCUUGCGGGCCCGUAUCGGGUACCAAUAGCAACCAAACUCCGAAUACCCGUGACGUGUAUCCUGGCAGUGACCCGGCGGGGGAUAAGCUUCGUCGUGGAAAGGGAAACAGCCCAGACCGUCGUCUAAGGUCCCCAAGCGCGUGCUAAGUGGGAAAGGAUGUGGAGUCGCAUAGACAGCCAGGAGGUUGGCUCAGAAGCAGCCACCCUUGAAAGAGUGCGUAACAGCUCACUGGUCUAGUGGUUCCGCGCCGACAAUGUAGCGGGGCUCAAGCACGCCACCGAAGACGCGGCAACAGUCUUUUUGGAUUGUUGGGUAGGAGAGCGUCCCCUGCGGGGCGAAGCGGCGGUGGAAACCGGCCGUGGACUGCAGGGGAGUGAGAAUGCAGACAUGAGUAGCGAAAGCGGGGUGAAGAUCCCCGCCGCUGGAUGACCAAGGGUUCCAGGGCCACGUUCAUCGUCCCUGGGUGAGUCGGGUCCUAAGGCGAGGCCGACAGGCGUAGUCGAAUGGAUGAACGGGUCGAUAUUCCCGUACCGGCUGGCGACCGGCAAAACCGAGCCCGUGAGUACUAACCUCCGGUUCCUCCUGAAUUCCCCUUCGGGGGUCGGAUGGUGGUUCCGUUGGGACUGUAGCGGUAGUAGGUCAGCGCAGGAGUGACACGGAAGGGUGGCCGGCUCCGGAGGUGGUUUUCCGGGGCCAAGCACGCAGCCCGUCCCCCAGGCAAAUCCGGGGGCAUGUAGGGUGAGGUGCGAUGGGACGCGCGUUAGCGUGGAUCCGGUGAUCCCGGCCGUCGAGAAAAGCUUCGGCGUGAGGGCGUCAGUCCGCCCGUACCCCAAACCGACACUGGUGGUCAGGUAGAGAAUACCAAGGCGAUCGAGCGAAUCCUGGUCAAGGAACUCGGCAAAUCACUCCCGUUCCUUCGGUUUAAGGGAGACCCCCGAUGGUGAAAGGACUUGCUCCUGGAGCUGUUGGGGGUGGCACAGACCAGGGGGUAGCGACUGUUUACCAAAAACACAGGUGCAUGCGAAGACGCAAGUCGCUGUAUAUGCACUGACGCCUGCCCGGUGCCGGAAGGUUAAGAGGAUCCGUCAGCCCUUCAGGGUGAAGCGGUGAAUUCAAGCCCCGGUAAACGGCGGUGGUAACUAUAACCAUCCUAAGGUAGCGAAAUUCCUUGUCGGGUAAGUUCCGACCUGCACGAAUGGCGUAACGACUUCCCCACUGUCUCGACCAGGAGCUCGGCGAAAUUGCAGUACGAGUAAAGAUGCUCGUUAAGCGCAGAAGGACGAAAAGACCCCGGGACCUUUACUAUACCUUGGUAUUGGCAUUCGGUGUGGAUUGUGUAGCAUAGGCGGGAGACUUCGAAGCGCCGGCGCCAGCCGGUGUGGAGUCGCAAGGUGAAAUACCGCUCUGUUCGCAUUGGAUGUCUAACCUCGGCCA